UAGUUUUGUCCUCAAACUUCUUUAACUUUGACCAAGUUUCUAGAUAAAUGUAUUAACAUCUACAGUACUAAAUAAAUGUACUAUCAAGACAUUUCAUGGUGGAUCUAAUGAAACUAGUUUGAUGAUGUAGAUAUAGGUGCAUUUUUCUAUAAACUUGGUCAAAAUUAGAGAAGUUUGACUUAGGAAAAAACUAAA
rnacentral:pre_miRNA from 1 species